UAUGAAUCAAGUUUUAUCUUUUUAACGGUGUUAAAAUUAAUAAUGUUAAGUUUAUUGUGAAUGUGAGUUAUGCAAGCAAUGUUGUUGUGACAUUUAGUUGGCCUAAAUUAAGUUCACGUGGUAGACAAAGUUUGGUUACGUGUAAAUUGAGAUUAUUAGGGUUUUUAAUUGGGGAAAUAAAAUAAUUACGAAAAUUAGGUCUUAUCUUAAUUGAGGAUUUUUUUAUCGAGGUUGCUUACUUGGUUCUGUGAGCAAAGGUGCAUUGUCAGUGAACGAGUGUGGUUGUCGAAGGAGGUUCGUGACCGGAAGACUUGGUGAACGAGUAGGGUUUGUCAACGGUUGCGGUGGGUGACUGAAUACGGUUCAUGAGCGUGGUAUUUUGAAGGUGCAAGGUGCACUUUUUAUCAAUUAUUUUAUGUGGUUUGGGUCCCUCGAUGGAAGUUUGUUGUCUUCUUGUCCCCCUUUAGUGUGUUCUGUUGUGGUCCCCCUAAUAGCGCUGGCUUUGUUGUGGUCCCCUUCUUUAUUGUGUUUCGCUUUGGUGGCAUAUUAUAGUUUGCUUGAUUUCCAUCCCUCAUUUGAAAAUUAAAUUGUUUAUUGUGUGGUUGUUGUUGGUACGUUGCAUAUAGUCGGUCUGUAUUAGUGAUUGAGUCAUAUUGUUCAUGCGUAUUGAUUUAAGAAUGAAGACAAAAUGGAAUGUUGUA
rnacentral:lncRNA from 1 species